UACAGUCUGAGAGGAAGUGUUAAACUUCGACCGCACCUGAUCUGGGUAAUGCCAGCGGAGGGAACGAUACUUAGUCUAAU
rnacentral:ncRNA from 18 species